rnacentral:lncRNA from 1 species
CUGAUGUGUUAACUUGAUUUUGGCUUCUUGUUUUUAAAAGUUGCAUAUCAUGAUUUGUGUUGUUGAUUCCCAAUCCUGAUGGCUCAUAUUUUUGUCAUUGGUUUAGGCUUGUUAAAAAGAAAAGCCAAAGAGGGAAAAGUCUUGGGUUCUAUUUUGAACGUGUACUCCUUGUUAAAAUUGGAGUCUGUCUCCACUCCCCCCACCCACGCCCAACUCCUCCCGCCAAAAAAAAAAAAAAA